UACGUAGGGUGCGAGCGUUAAUCGGAAUUACUGGGCGUAAAGCGUGCGCAGGCGGAUUGUUAAGCAAGAUGUGAAAUCCCCGGGCUUAACCUGGGAAUGGCAUUUUGAACUGGCAGUCUAGAGUGUGUCAGAGGGGGGUGGAAUUCCACGUGUAGCAGUGAAAUGCGUAGAUAUGUGGAGGAACACCAAUGGCGAAGGCAGCCCCCUGGGAUAACACUGACGCUCAUGUACGAAAGCGU
rnacentral:rRNA from 1 species